UUACGACCAUAUCACGUUCAAACAUUGGUUCGCGUACGAUCACUGAAAACAAACAACGUCGAGCCUGGUCAGUACCUGGAUGGGUGUCCUCUUGGGAAAACCAGGUUCUGUAA